rnacentral:rRNA from 1 species
GCGGAGGAUGCAAGCGUUAUCCGGAAUGAUUGGGCGUAAAGCGUCCGCAGGUGGCUGUGUAAGUCUGCUGUUAAAGAGUGAGGCUUAACCUCAUAAAAGCAGUGGAAACUACAUAGCUAGAGUGCGUUCGGGGCAGAGGGAAUUCCUGGUGUAGCGGUGAAAUGCGUAGAGAUCAGGAAGAACACCGGUGGCGAAGGCGCUCUACUGGACCACAACUGACACUCAGGGACGAAAGCUAGGGGAGCGAAUGGGA